rnacentral:rRNA from 1 species
GGCAGGCCUACACACAUGUCAAGUACGAGCGAGAAAGCCUUUUGGUGAGUAGAGCGGCGGACGGGUGAGUAAAGCGUGGGAAUCUGCCUGGUAGUGGGGGACAACUCGGGGAAACUCGAGCUAAUACCGCAUACGCCCUUUCUCUGUAGUGGAGGGAGGGGAAAGCGGGGGAUCUUCGGACCUCGUGCUAUCAGAUGAGCCCACGUCAGAUUAGCUAGUUGGUGGGGUAAAGGCCCACCAAGGCGACGAUCUGUAGCUGGUCUGAGAGGAUGAUCAGCCACACUGGGACUGAGACACGGCCCAGACUCCUACGGGAGGCAGCAGUGGGGAAUAUUGCACAAUGGGCGCAAGCCUGAUGCAGCCAUGCCGCGUGUGUGAAGAAGGCCUUCGGGUUGUAAAGCACUUUCAGCGAGGAGGAAAGGAUUGAGGUGAAUAGCCUUGAUCUGUGACGUUACUCGCAGAAGAAGCACCGGCUAACUCCGUGCCAGCAGCCGCGGUAAUACGGAGGGUGCGAGCGUUAAUCGGAAUUACUGGGCGUAAAGCGCGCGUAGGCGGUUAUUUAAGCUAGAUGUGAAAUCCCCGGGCUCAACCUGGGAAUGGCAUUUAGAACUGGGUAGCUAGAGUG